rnacentral:rRNA from 1 species
GACGAACGCUGGCGGCGUGCUUAACACAUGCAAGUCGAACGCUGAAGCUUGGUGCUUGCACUGGGUGGAUGAGUGGCGAACGGGUGAGUAAUACGUGAGUAACCUGCCCUUGACUCUGGGAUAAGCCUGGGAAACUGGGUCUAAUACUGGAUACGACAUGUCACCGCAUGGUGGUGUGUGGAAAGGGGUUUACUGGUUUUGGAUGGGCUCACGGCCUAUCAGCUUGUUGGUGGGGUAAUGGCUCACCAAGGCGACGACGGGUAGCCGGCCUGAGAGGGUGACCGGCCACACUGGGACUGAGAGACGGCCCAGACUCCUACGGGAGGCAGCAGUGGGGAAUAUUGCACAAUGGGCGGAAGCCUGAUGCAGCGACGCCGCGUGCGGGAUGACGGCCUUCGGGUUGUAAACCUCUUUCAGCACGGAAGAAGCGAAAGUGACGGUACGUGCAGAAGAAGCGCCGGCUAACUACGUG